rnacentral:rRNA from 1 species
UACGUAGGGGGCAAGCGUUGUCCGGAAUUAUUGGGCGUAAAGAGCGUGUAGGCGGCCAGACAGGUCAGCUGUGAAAACUCGAGGCUCAACCUCGAGACGUCGGUUGAAACCGUCUGGCUAGAGUCCGGAAGAGGAGAGUGGAAUUCCCGGUGUAGCGGUGAAAUGCGCAGAUAUCAGGAAGAACACCCGUGGCUAAGGCGGCUCUCUAGUACGGUACUGACGCUGAGACGCGAAAGCGUGGGGAGCGAAACAGG